CAUUUACGGUCAUAACUACUGUAAAGCAAUGGAACUCGUCACCUCUCCGAAGUUAAGCCAGUUAGAGCCUAGUUAAUACUAAGAUGGGAGACGGCUUGGAAAAGCUGGGUGCUGUAAUU
rnacentral:rRNA from 1 species